GCAAGUCGAACGGUCGUUUCUAUGGAAGCUUGCUUCCACUGAGAAGAUAGUGGCGAACGGGUGAGUAACACGUGGGUAACCUGCCCAUAAGAGGGGGAUAACAUCCGGAAACGGGUGCUAAUACCGCAUAGUUUUCUUGAUUGCAUGAUUGAGAAGGAAAGACGGCCUUUGUGCUGUCGCUUAUGGAUGGACCCGCGGCGUAUUAGUUAGUUGGUGAGGUAACGGCUCACCAAGACGAUGAUACGUAGCCGACCUGAGAGGGUGAUCGGCCACAUUGGGACUGAGACACGGCCCAAACUCCUACGGGAGGCAGCAGUAGGGAAUCUUCCGCAAUGGACGAAAGUCUGACGGAGCAACGCCGCGUGAGUGAAGAAAAGGUUUUCGGAUCGUAAAACUCUGUUGUCAGAGAAGAACAAGUUGGAGAGUAACUGCUCCAGCCUUGACGGUACCUGACCAGAAAGCCACGGCUAACUACGUGCCAGCAGCUGC
rnacentral:rRNA from 1 species